GCUUCAGGGCGAAGCCKGACGCAGCGACACCGCCGNUGGGGGAAGAAGGCUUUAGGGUUGUAAACCCCUUUUCUCGGGGAAGAGGAAGGACGGUACCCGAGGAAUAAGGUUCGGCUAACUACGUGCCAGCAGCCGCGGUAAUACGUAGGAACCGAGCGUUGUCCGGAUUUACUGGGCGUAAAGGGCGAGUAGGCGGCUCGUUAAGUCUCAUGUGAAAUCUCCCGGCUCAACUGGGAGGCGCCAUGGGAAACUGGCGGGCUUGAGGGCAGCAGAGGAAAGCGGAAUUCCCGGAGUAGUGGUGAUAUGCGUAGAUACCGGGAGGAACACCCGAAGCGAAGGCGGCUUUCUGGGCUGUACCUGACGCUGAGGCGCGAAAGCGUGGGGAGCAAACCGGAUUAGAUACCCGGGUAGUCCACGCCCUAAACGAUGGAUACUAGGUAUGGGGGGUAUCGACCCCCCCCGUGCCGCAGCUAACGCAUUAAGUAUCCCGCCUGGGGAGUACGGCCGCAAGGCUAAAACUCAAAGGAAUUGACGGGGACCCGCACAAGCAGCGGAGCGUGUGGUUUAAUUCGAUGAUAAGCGAAAAACCUUACCAGGGCUUGACAUGUUUCUGACAACCCGUGAAAGCGGGCUUUCCUUCGGGACAGUUGCACAGAUGCUGCAUGGCUGUCGUCAGCUCGUGCCGUGAGGUGUUGGGUUAAGUCCCGCAACGAGCGCAACCCUUGUCGUUAGUUACUAUGUCUAGCGAGACAGCCCCUAAGAAGGGGGAGGAAGGUGGGGAUGACGUCAAGUCAGCACGGCUCUUACGCCCUGGGCUACACACACGCUACAAUGGUC
rnacentral:rRNA from 1 species